GGGACCCCACUGUAGUUCGUUCGUCCUCAAUGGCGCGCGAGCUUGGCGGAGCAAUUCCGAUCCACUCGCAAAAUGUUUCCCCCUGACCAGACUCUACCGCAGUAUAUAAAUCCCAACCAUGUCGUAUCCCUUCUCUCAUCUCACCAUCGCCAGAAACCGACGUGUUGUGGGCAAGAGGAAGCACGAUGGGGAGAGAAGGGGAGCCACCGCGGGCAAUUCUCGCCGGCGUUGGUCCUGCGCGGUGAAUCCGCCUCUUGUCACUGCUGGAGCUUGAAACCUUGUAAUCCGUGGUAACUGCUAAUACAAUUUUGACGAACACUAAAAGCAAUGCUCAGCUUUAACCAUCUCCUUUGGUCAAGAACAGGUACCACAAGAUGAGGCACGUGAAGGAUGUAGUGAUGAGUUCGUGAGUGGUCUUGGCCGUUGUCUCCCAUUCAACUAUGGUUGCUGGAUUGUUGUCUUCGUAUGAUGUAAUUAUUUAACUAUUUUGUAUAGAACUUCGUUAUAUAUUAAUGAUGUGACAUUUGUUUAUGUACCAUGUGUCAUC